AGGAAAGUUUGCUUUGUAAGGAUUUUAAUGUUGGUAAGAAAAAUAUUUAUUCAAUAUCUUUUUAGAUAAAAUCCAUCCAGUUUCAAAUAACAAAACCGUUGGACAAAUUUAAAUUUAAAUUUAUUCCAAGAAGAGGGAAUCAACUUGUCCACUAAAUUACUCAAGAAGGCUGAUUUUUGCCCUGAGAUAUUACUUGGUGGAAUGAUUUACCUGUCCGAUUGAAGAAGUUUGCUGAUGAAGACCGACGGAAAUCCGACCCGCCAUUGGAUUGACGUCUAGAAUCGUUAAUUAAAACUUCCUUGCAGAUUUGUUUCUUUAGCAGAGGGCAGGCAAAGGAAUGCUACCAAGGAUGAAACCUCUGUUGGAUCACCGAGUCGUCCAAGAGGAGUUCGAGAGUACACCUCUUCUAAAUAUUCUUUGUUGCUGAGUACCUAGAGAAAGUAGUGAGAUCAAAACAAGAGAGUAUUCCUAAAGCUCCAAAA